rnacentral:rRNA from 1 species
AGUGAACGCUGGCGGUAGGCCUCACACAUGCAAGUCGAACGGCAGCACAGUAAGAGCUUGCUCUUACGGGUGGCGAGUGGCGGACGGGUGAGGAAUACAUCGGAAUCUACUUUUUCGUGGGGGAUAACGUAGGGAAACUUACGCUAAUACCGCAUACGACCUACGGGUGAAAGCAGGGGAUCUUCGGACCUUGCGCGAUUGAAUGAGCCGAUGUCGGAUUAGCUAGUUGGCUGGGUAAAGGCCCACCAAAGCGACGAUCCGUAGCUGGUCUGCUAGGAUGGUCCACCAACCUAGAACUCAGACACGGUCCCACCUCCGAAGGGUGGCAGCAGUUGGGAAUAAUGGGCAAUUGCGGCAAACCGGUACCAAGCCACCCGGAUGGGCCAAAGAAGCACUCGGGUUAUAAAGCCCUUUUGAUGGGAAAUAAAAGCAGCAGGUUCAUACCCAGCCGCUCUGACGGUCACCAAAGGAUAAGCACCGGCUAACUUCGUG